GCCUCAGCCUCCCAAGUAGCUGGGACUACUGGUGCACGCCACCAUGCCCAGCUAAUUUUUGUAUUUUUAGUAGAGACGGGGUUUCACCUUGUUGACCAGGAUGGUCUCGAUCUCUUGACCUUGUGAUCCACCCGCCUCAGCCUCCCAAAGUGCUGGGAUUAUAGGCGUGAGCCACUGCGCCUGGCCCCACUUUUUUACUUUUAUUUGGAGUUGCACCAAUAUCUUUGGUUCCUAAGACCAAUAGAUUAUUUCUAACCUUUAAAAGUAAGAAAGCCAGGGCCAGGCAUGGUGGCUCACACCUGUGAUUCCAGCACUUUGGGAGACCAAGGUGGGCAGAUCACGAGGUCAAGAGAUCAAGACCAUCCUGGCCAACAUAGUGAAACCCCAUCUCUACUAAAAAACACAAAAAUUAGCUGGACAUGGUGGCAGGCGCCUGUAGUUCCAGCUACUCGGGAGGCUGAGGCAGGAGAAUUGCUUGAACCUGGGAGGUGGAGGCUGCAGUGAGCCGAGAUCGCGCCAUUGCACUCCAGCCUGGUGCCUGGUGACAGAGCAAGACUGUCUCAAAAAAAAAAAAAGAAAGAAAGAAAGUAAGAAAGCCAUGUUAUUAGACUUGGGGGCAUGAGUUACCAGUUCUUGAAUACUUUCUCGGUAGAUAAGAAGUUGUAGGCUUCUAUAGUUAGAGUCACAAUCUAAUGUUUUAGUUAAACUAUAGCUACAGGAUGUUAAUCCUGUGAUUGUUUGGGGGUUUAGAGUAAGGAGUAGGAUUGGUGCAAGAUGUAUAAAUACUAAAAUAUUUUCCCAUGUGAAGAAAGGUUUAAUACUGCUAAUAUUGUACUUUAAUGCUCUCUGAUGUGUUGAGGUAAAUAUGUAUAGUGAAUAAAGGGCUGUAAUUAGUAUGUUAAGUCCUAUAAGUAAAAUAGUGAAGUUUGAUCUGAAGAAGGAGGCUAUGACUGUAAAGAGUUCUCCAAUUAAAUAAUGGUUGGGGUAGGGCAAGAUUAGUAAGAUUUGCUAAGAGUCAUCAGAGGGCUAUUAAUGGAAAUAAUAUUUGGAGUCCUCGGGUGAAUAGUAUGGUUCGGCUAUGGAUUUGUUCAUUAUUUGAGUUUGCUAGGCAGAACAUUAAAGAUGAGGUGAGCCUGUGGGCGAUUAUGAGAGUAGUAGUGCCUGUAAAACUUCAAGGGUUUUGAAUGAGGAUUGCUAGAAUAACAAGUGCUAUAUGUCUUACAGAAGAAUAGGCAAUGAGUGAUUUUAGGUCAGUUUGUCAUAAACAGAUAGAGCUUGUUAUAAUUAUCCCUCAUAUGGAUAAAAUUAGGAAAGGAUAGCUUAUGGUUUCUGUUAGGGGGCUAAGGACAUGGGUAAUUCAUAUUAUGCCAUAGCCGCCUAAUUUUAGCAGUACUGCUGCAAGUACUAUUGAGCUGGCGAUAGGGGCUUCUACAUGGGCUUUAGGGAGUCAUAGGUGGAGUCCAUAUAGAGGCAUUUUGACUCUAAAGGCCGUUAUAUAUGCUAGUCAUGUAACAUUGUUGGUUCAGGAGAAUAAUAGUUCUUGAGCAAUAACUGUUGUUGUUACUCUAUUUAGUGACCCUAAGGUGUUUUGGGUGUAAAGAAGUAUGAUGAGUAGGUGAAGGGAUCCUACUAGUGUAUAAAAUAAUAAAUAUGAGCCUGCAUUGAGGCAUUCUGAUUGAUAUCCUCAGUGGGUAAUAAUAAUUAGAGUGGGAAUUAAUGUGACUUUGAAUAGGAUAUAAAAUAUGAUUCGCUCUGUGGUCGUGAAUGCUGUAAUUAAGGAAGUUUGUAGGAUAAUUAAUAUGGAAAUGUAAAGGUUUUUUGUGGGAGGGGAAUACUGAAUAGGUGGUGUUGAGUGGCUAAAAUUAUGGGAGGUAGAAGUCAGGCUGUUAAGAUUAGAAGCGGGGAUGUUAAUGGAUCUGAAAAGAAAGUGAGAAAGUACAUAGGUUGUUGUUGGGGUAGUGAAAGAAAAUAGGAUAAAGAGCCUGAUAAAUAAGCUAUGAGUGACUAUGUUAAUUCAUAUUAUAUAAUUUUUUCCAAGUCAUGUUGUUGGAAGCAGGUUACUUUUUGGGAAAAUAACUUUUAACAGUGGAGUAGAUUUAAGUUUUGUAAGUAAUCUAGGCCGUGUAUGUUAGAAGUUGAAAUUAGUAGGGCUAGGCCUACUGCAGCUUCACAGGCAGAGAAUACUAGAAAGACAAGAGGUAUUAUAGAUAUUAAGAUAAAAUAUAUAUUUAAGGUUAUGAUUAUGAUUAUAAUGAACAAUGAUAAUAUUUUACCUUCCAAACAUAGUAGAGAUUAUAUUAGGUGGGAUGGAUAAGUUAAUAUUCCUGGUAGAGAUAUAGAAUAUACUAGUAUAUUAUUAAUAUAAAUAAAAGGCAUUUGAUAGAUAUAAUUCAUCAUAAUCUAAUGAGUCAUCAUUUGUUUUGAUUUAAACUAUAUACCAAUUUGGCUCAGUCUAAUCCUUUUUGAGUUCAUUCAUAAACUAUGCCUAGAAUUAAACUAAUUACUAGCAUAAGAGUUGUGCUAAUUGUUAACAUUAGAUUACUUGUUUGUGUUGCUCAUGGUGGGGGUAGUAGUAGGGCAAUUUCUAGGUAGAAUAUAAGGAAUGUAAUAGAAAUUAAAAAGAAUUUUUUUUUUUUUUGAGACGGAGUUUUGCUGUUGUUACCCAGACUGAAGUGCAAUGGCACGAUGUCGGCUCACCGCAACCUCCGCCUUCUGGGUUCAAGCAAUUCUCCCGCCUCAGCCUCCCGAGUAGCUGGGACUACAGGCACAUACCACCAUGCCCAGCUAAUUUUUGUAUUUUUAGUAGAGACGGGGUUUCACCUCGUUGACCAGGAUGGUCUCGAUCUCUUGACCUCGUGAUCCACCCGCCUCGGCCUCCCAAAGUGCUGGGAUUAUAGGCAUGAGCCACAGCGCACCCGGCCUAAAAAGAAUUUUAUAGACCUCCGAGACCGCAUCCGCCCCGCGAGCACAGAGCCUCACCCUUGCUGUUCCAUCGCCCGUCCACACCCACUGCCAGCUCACCAUGGAUGAUGGUAUCACUGCACUUGUUGUCGACAACGGCUCCGGCAUGUGCAAGGCCGGCUUCACGGGCAACUGUGCUCCCCGGGCCAUCUUCCCCUCCAUCAUGGGGCGCCCCAGGCACCAGGGCGUGAUAUUGGGCAUGGGUCAGAAGGACUUCUACGUGGCUGACGAGGCCCAGAGCAAGAGAGGCAUCCUGACCCUGAAGUACCCCAUUGAGCACGGCAUUGUCACCAACUGGGAUGACAUGGAGAAGAUCUGGCACUACACUUUCUACAACGAGCUGCGUGUGGCUCCUGAAGAGCACCCUGUGCUGCUUACUGAGGCCCCCUGAACCCCAAGGCCAACUAUGAGAAGAUGACCCAGAUCAUGUUUGAGACCUUCAACACCCCAGCCAUGUAUGUGGCCAUCCAGGCCGUGCUUUCCUUAUAGGCCUCUGGCUGUACCACUGGCAUCAUGAUGGACUCUGGUGACGGGGUCACCCACACUGUGCCCAUCUAUGAGGGGCCCUCUCCCACGCCAUCCUUCGACUGGACCUGGCUGGCUGGUACCUGACUGACUACCUCAUGUAGAUCCUCACUGAGUGCGGCCACAGCUUCACGACCACAGCUGAGCGGGAAAUCGUGUGUGACAUCAAGGAGAAGCUGGGCUACAUCACCCUGGACUUCGAGCAGGAGAUGGCCACGGUGGCCUCUAGCUCCUCCCUGGAGAAGAGCUAUGAGCUGCCCGAUGGUCAGGUCAUCACCAUCGGCAACGAGCGGUUCCGCUGCCCUGAGGCGCUCUUCCUUCCAGCCUUCUUUCCUGGGCAUGGAAUCUUGUGGCGUCCACGAAACUACUUUUAACUCCAUCAUGAAAUGUGACAUGGACAUCCGCAAAGACCUGUAUGCCAACACAGCGCUGUCUGGCAGUACCACCAUGUGCCCUGGCAUCGCUGACAGGAUGCCGAGGGAGAUCACUGCCCUGGCACCCAGCACGAUGAAGAUCAAGAUCAUUGCUCCUCCUGAACGGAGGUACUCCAUGUGGAUCGGUGGCUCCAUCCUGGCCUCUCUGUCCACCUUCCAGCAGAUGUGGAUCAGCAAGCAGGAGUACGACGAAUCCCGCCCCUCCAUCAUCCACCGCAAAUGCUUCUGGGCAGACUGUGACUUAGUUGCAUUACACCCUUUCUUGAAAAAACCUAACUUGCGCAGAAAACAAGAUGAGAUUGGCAUGGCUUUAUUUGUUUUUUUUUUUUUGUAUUGUUUUGGGUUUUUUUUUUUUUUUUGGGCUUGACUCAGGAUUUAAAAACUGGAAAGGUGAAGGUGACAGCAGUCGGUUGGAGUGAACAUCCCCCAAAGUUCUACAAUGUGGCCGAUGACUUGAUUGUGUACAUUGUUUUCUUUAAGUCAUUCCAAAUAUUGUGAGAUGCAUUGUUAUAGGAAGGCCCUUGCCCUCCCAAAAGCCACUCCACUUCUCUUUAAGGAGAAUGGCCCAGUCCUUUCCCAAGUCCACACAGGGGAGGUAACAGCAUUGCUUUUGUUGUAAAUUAUGUAAUGAAAAAAUUUUUAAAUUUUGCCUUAAUACUUUUUAAAUUUUGUUUUAUUAUGAAAGAUUUUAGCCUCUGGCUACCCCUUUUUUUGUCCCUCAACUUGAGAUGUAUGAAGGCUUUUGGUCUCCCUGGGAGUGGGUGGAGGCAGCCAGGGCUUACCUGUACACUGACUUGAGACCAGUUGAAUAAAGUGCACACCUUAAAAAAAAAAAAAAAAAAGAAUUUUAUAGAGAAAGGUAGGUGAGCACAGGCUAUGGGAUCAAACCCACAUUCAUAGGAGUUAUAUUUUUCUCUAUAAAUUUUUAAUUGUGGGAGUCAGAAUGUGAUCAUAAUCAGUAAUAGGGCUAAGAGAGUGUCAGUUGCUAAAGUUAGUGUUAGGUUAAUUACUCUCGGGUUUGAAUCGAAGCUUAUUGAUUGGAAGUCAAUGGUACUUUUGUACUAAGAGAGUAGGAUCCUCAUCAGUAAAUGGAAAUAUACAGGAACAGUCACACUAUGUCUACGAAGUGUCAGUAUCAUGCAGCAGCUUCAAAGCCUAAGUGGUGAUUGGUUGUAAAGUGAAAUAUUAGUUCGUGAAAAAGACACGUAGUGAGAAAUGUAGAUCCAAUAAUAGCAUGGAGGCCGUGAAAUCCUGUAGUGACAAAGAAUGUGGAGCCAUAAAUUCCAUCAGAAAUAGUAAAGGAAGUUUCAAAAUAUUCUGAGAUUUGUAGGAGAAUGAAAUAAGCACCUAGAAUAAUGGUCAUAGUUAAUGCUUGGAUUAUUUCUUUUCAGUUAGCUUCCAUUAGGCUGUGAUGUGCUUAGGUAAUUGAGCUCAGGUAUUUUUUUCCUUUCAAAUUUAGAUCUACAAUCUACAUUGGAUUGUCCUUUGUGUAUGAUGUGAGUUAAAGGUUGUUUCUUUUUUUCUUGCCAAGAUUCCUUUUCAAAUGUCCUAGCAUCAUUUAUUGAAAAGACUGUUCUCUCUCCACUGCUCUGCAGUAUCACCUUUGUUAAGAAUCAAAUGUUAAGCAAUACAUGAGCAAUAUAAGCAAUACUCUCUAUUCCAUUCUAUUUGCCUAUCUUUGUACCAGCAUCACACUGUUUUAAUUGCUAUAGCUUUAUGCCAUGUCUUUAUAUCCAAGAGAACAAGUUCUCCAUUCCAGUUCUUCUUCAGUUGGGUCUUGGCUAUUUGUUACUUUCCAUUUCUGUAUACUUUUUAGAAUGAACAUGUCAAGUGGUAUUUUCAUUUUUCUCUCCUAGUGCUGACUUUCAACAGCUAAAUUUUUAUAAUUAUUUAGAACUUUAAUGGCAAUAGGACUUUGAAAGGACGUGAUAUAGUGGGGAAAAAAGUGGGCCAUGCUAUCAGACUUGAGUUUGAAUUUAUUCUUACCAUUCUCUAUUAGUGUAGGACAUGAGACUGGUACAGGCUUGUUUUAUCUAUUUUGAUCAACUAUUUAUACUUUUUAGGCCACAAUAACAGAAACACCUUUAUUGCUGAAAUUACUGAAGGAAAAUAACUUUAUUAUUGCAAAUAUGAGACUAUCUUCUUCCCAUUGAGACAGUCACUUUUAUAAGCACAAGUUAUUUCGCUUUCCUAAAUUCAGGCUUAUCAGUUGUAAAUGGGGAUAAAAAUAACUACUUUCUGAGGAAUGAACCUUUGUAAAUGUGCUUAGUACAAAAAAGGAACUUGAUAAUGGUGGUCCUUAUAUCUGUUCUUUCUUGGCUUGUCUAGCAUGUUUUCCUACACCCUUCUCAGUUGAUUAGGAGCAUGGCAGGUCUGAGAUGCUAGAAGUUUUUGCAUAAUAAAAGCCUAACUUUCAGAAAUUCAUUUCUUUAAAUUUCUUUUUUUUCUUUUUUUUGAGACGGAGUUUCAUCAUGUUGGUCAGACUGGUCUCGAACUCCUGACCUCAGGUAAUCCACCCGCCUCGGCUUCCCAAAGUGCUGGGAUUAUAGACGUGAGCCACCGUGCGCAGCCACUUUCAGAAAUUCAUAUUAUCUAAACUGGAAGAGAUUAGGGGUACAUGUAAAAAUUAUAUAUGUGAAUAUAUUCUUUAUAAAUGUUUUGUGAAUUAUGAUGCAUAUUUUAAAUUUCAACAUUAUUAUUCUCUUUCUCCUCUAAUAUUAGUUAUAAAUCAUACAGAGUAUAGGUUUUGUUUCUGUAAUGCUCAAUGCAAUAAAAAGGCUUGUGACUGGAUUGUUAAAAUUCAGCACUGCACGGGUUUGUUGGCAUCACAAUAAAUAUUUCUUAGCCCAGUUCAGAAAUGUGUCAAAGCUAUCAGCAGAUAAUGCAGCAGACAAUGUAUCAUUACCCACUUAUCAUAACUGUAACUUGUGCCUCAUCUUUUUUAUUUUUAUUUUUUACAAGGCAUUCAUCCAUUGGUACACAUUUUUCUUUUUUUUUUUUUAAAGGCAUUCAUCUUUUUAACUUUAAACAUUUGUACUCACCUAGAAACCAAUUUGAAAUGUUUUUCUUAUUAUCUUCUUACCAUCCCCCAGAAUAUAUAUUUUUUAACUCAUAAAAUGCAUGUUAUUUAAGGUAAAUCAUAAAGUUAUAAUGAAUACCCAUGAAUCUAACAUCUGCCAUCCAAACCAUGUGCUCAUUCUAUUCAUGUUAACUGGCUUCUUAUUUAAACCUCUUUGAGAACUUGGCCUCUUUAAUUUAUAUUAUUGGCUUAAUAUUCACUUAAAAUAUCCUCAAACAGUACAGACAGCUGCAUGCAGCUUCAAUAUGUAGUUAUUUUGCAGCUCAUUAAUGCUAUGAAAUCUGUGAAUAUGUUUAUUUAGUAAAAUUGGCAAGCAAGGAGUUUUGUCUCCAAUUCUAUCUAUACCUCUAAGUGUCUGUGUGUAACUGUGACUGCAUAUGGCCUCUUACAUUCAGAAAUGAAUUAUUCUCUAUCUCUAUAUUUCUUUCCCAUUCUGUCUCUCACAUACACAUACAUAUUCAAAUACACACAAAGAAAAGGAUAUAGAAAAAGAAAAUAUGAAAACAGCUCCCAAUAUGAUCCAUCUACCAUCUGUACUUUCCUAUCCAUCACUGCAAAUUUGGGCAAAAUGCUCUCUCUUGUAUUCAUUUUGCUCCCUAUUCCCUUAUUCAUGCUGGUUUGGAGACAAAGUGGGGGUACAAAAAGGCAGUCCGCUAUUUUCUGCACCACAAUUUCCCUUUUCAGUGACUCCAUAGCUGCCAUCAGCUCACAGAUGAUGCUCUUUUGUGGAUAUGGGGGGAACUCUGAUAGAACACUUGUGGAAGGUGCCCCACAGGGGAAGAGUGAAUAGCCUGUUCCUUCAAUCCUGUCACCAGGUGGCAAAGGCAAAAUGCUGUCAAAUGGCCCAAAAGCUUAUCAGGGAGGAAAAGACUCAAGGGUUUAUAGCAUCUGAGCUUAUAGAACAUGCUCAUUUAAUUCAUGAGAUGUUUCAUUUUUGUAUUUUAGUAACAAUUUUAGUAACAGGUAUGUCUUUAUGAUUGUAAUCUUUUGCUUCCUCCAUUCUUUCUAUAGAUGCAUAUGUAUGUAUAUGUGUGUGAAUAUGUAUAUGUAUAUAAUAUACAUCUACAUAGCAUAGUUCAGUUUAAUAGGCAUUUAUUAAGUUAUUAUUUGCCAUGCAUCAAGGACACAGAGAUGAAUAAGAUAUGGAUUCUGCUGGGCACAGUGGCUCCCGCCGAUAAUCCCAGCUACUCGGGAGACUGAGGUGGGAGAAUCACUUGAGGCCAGGAGUUCAAGAUCAGCCUGAGCAACAGAGCUUGAUCCCAUAUCUAUUUUUUAAAAUGUGAAUUCUGCUCUCGAGGAGCUUGUAGUCUACUGGUAUUUAUUUUUCCACAGAUGAUUUUAGACAUAGGGACUAUAUUUCAGUUUUACUACCAGUAUUAAAAAGUAUUAAAACCUAAUAGGACUUUCCAGAAGGCACAGGCCAGCCAUAGGAAGCACAGGAGUGCAGUGGUGCGAUCUUGGCUCACUGCAAUCUCUGCCUCCCAAGUUCAAGCAAUUUACCUGCCUCAGCCUCCCGAGUAGCUGGGACUACAGGCAUGCGCCACCAUGCCCAGCUAAUUUUUGUAUUUUUAGUAGAGACAGGGUUUCCACCAUGUUGGCCAGGAUGGUCUCGAUCUUUUGACCUUGUGAUCCAUCCACCUCAGCAUUUGAAAGUGCUGGGAUUACAGGUGUGCAACCUCUGUGCCCAGCCCCCCAACUUUUUUUUUUUUUUGAGACGGGGUUUUGCUCUUGUUGCUCUGACUGGAGUGCAAUCGUGCGAUAAUGGUGCGGUCCCAGCUCACUGCACCCUCUGCCUCCCAGGAUUGCUUGAUCCUAAGUUUGCAAUUUAGGGAGCAAUUCUCCUAAUUUAUGUAUCAUUUACAUACAAUUUAAAUUUGUUCUAAUUUUUUUUUUUGACAGAGUCUUGCUUUGUCGCCCAGGAUGGAGUGCAAUGGGGCAAUCUUGGCACACUGCAACCUCUGCCUCUCGGGUUCAAGCAAUUCUCCUGCUUCAGCCUCCAAGUGGUUGGGAUUACAGGCGCCCACCACCACACCCAACUAAUGUUUUGUAUUUUUAGUAGAGAAGGGGUUUCAUCAUGUUGGCCAAGUGAUUCACCCGCCUCAGCCUCCCAAAGUGCUGGGAUUAUAGGUGUAAGCCACUGCUCCUGGCCUAGUUUUUUUUUUUUUUUUUUUUGAGGCGCGAUCUCGGCUCACUGCAACCUCCGCCUCCUGGGUUCAGGCAAUUCUCCUGCCUCAGCCUCCCGAAUAGCUGGGAUUACAGGCACACGCCACCAUGCCCAGCUAAUUUUUUGUAUUUUUAGUAGAGACGGGGUUUCACCAUGUUGACCAGGAUGGUCUUGAUCUCUUAACCUCGUGAUCCACCCGCCUCGGCCUCCCAAAGUGCUGGGAUUACAGGCUUGAGCCACUGCGCCUGGCCCAGUUUUUUAUUUUUUAAAUGGACUUUUCUCUUAGAGACAGGGUCUUGCUAUGCUACCCAAUCUAGUCUUGAACUCCUGGGCUCAAGUGAUCCUCCUGCCUCCAUCUCCCACAGUGCUUGCAUUACAGGUAUGAGCCACCAUGCCCACCCUAAUUAAACUUUCUGUUUUAGAAUAGUUUUAGAUUUAUAGAAAAGCUGGCAUGGCCUAAA